rnacentral:lncRNA from 1 species
UGGAGGAAGGUGUGCCCGCCGGUUUCCCUGGCCUAGGGAUCUAGGGAGGACGGAGGGCAUUUAAGCGGACGUUUGUGGCUUAUCUGGAGUGCUCUCCAGUGAGAUGUAGCCAAACU